UUUGAUUGUUCGACCUCUUUUUUUAUUUUCCUCUAUCUUUCUGUUUUUUUGGGGGGCGACACCCACCGUCCCUCUCGGGUUUGUCUUCCUUUUUGGGCCGCUGCCAAAGGGGCAAAAA
rnacentral:lncRNA from 1 species